GUGGAUUAGAUACCCUGGUAGUCCUAGCCGUAAACGGUGAUCACUAGGUGUUGGAGGCAUCGACCCCUCCAGUGCCGCAGCUAACGCAUUAAGUGAUCCGCCUGGGGAGUACGGCCGCAAGGUUGAAACUCAAAGGAAUUGACGGGGGCCCGCACAAGCGGUGGAGCAUGUGGUUUAAUUCGACGCAACGCGAAGAACCUUACCCAGACUUGACAUGCAUUAGACCGGUGUGGAAACACACCUUUCCUUCGGGACUGGUGCACAGGUGCUGCAUGGCCGUCGCCAGCU
rnacentral:rRNA from 1 species